AGCUACUAUCAGCUGAUGGGGCAGGCUAGCUUGACUGAACAAACGCGAUGCUCAAUUUCUGUAUAUGUAUAUAUUUCUUUCAAAGAAACACCGACCCCAAGUGGACUUGAUAAAGAAAUGCAUUAGCUACAUACGGAAGCUAAGUGGAUGCAGUCCCCUCGGUCAAAGCUUGUUCCAGUUGCUCUGUAAGAAUGUAACCUUAUCCAGAACUCAGAAGGUUGCACUGGUUGAAGGCCUGUACAUUCUCUUUCGAGAGAUUUUGCCAGAUCUCUCUACAACACAAGGGGGAAAAUCCAUUGAGGACCUUGAUGUCUUUGAGUAUUCAACAUACUGCUGGGCAUACCUCUUAUCAGAGGCAAAGAAAGAGUCCUCUGAAUUUGAAAACUACGCUCCAUACUCACUUUUGAAUGAAGACGGCAAACGAUUCUGUGAACCAGUCACUGUUCCAGGAGUCCCUGGAGCCCUCGAAAGAUCAUCAGUUGUGCACAAACUUAAAGAUGGAGAGAGGAUUCCCAACUGCUCAGAGCAGGUUCUGACAGAAACAUCCCUGAAGAAGGACACAGUCAUUGAGAAGAUUUUACUCAGUGUUCAUCCAUCAGUUACUACCCAUUACCUUUGGAUUGCUCACGACAGCGUGACUCAUCAAAAGUAAGUACUACACUAAUAAGUUCUUGUAUGUCGAAUGUGAUUACAUUUGCAUUACUAAAAGUAGGCUAACAAAGCUUGAUU
rnacentral:lncRNA from 1 species